GAUUCUCGGAUUCAUCUCUGUUACUUGUUAUCGAUUGCGUUGGAAGUUUUAUUGAAGGUUUUUCUCGGAUUUUUGUGAGAGAUUUUGUUUACCGAAAGAACGAUGUGUACUGAACGGAUAAUCGGAGCUUUUACUGUUGUUUGAUGCUUCGAUCUUCACUCAGUGGAUGUUUUGGGUGAUUUUCCGACAUCCCUGACCUUUUUCCGGUGAUUCUUCAGAUUCUAGGGUUUUCGGUGGUUGAACCUAGGGUUUUGCUGCUAUCCUAUGGCUCGAUCCUCACUCGGUGGAUGUUUUGGGUGAUUUUCCGACAUCUCUGACCCUAUUCCGGUAUGUUUCCAGUACGGUUUCCGGUGGUUG
rnacentral:lncRNA from 1 species